rnacentral:rRNA from 1 species
GGCAGACGGGUGAGUAACAUGUAGGUAUCUGCCCUUUGGCCUGGAAUAACACGAGGAAACUUGUGCUAAUACCGGAUAAGUCUUUACGGAGAAAGCUUUAUGCACCUUUGGAUGAGCCUGCACUUGAUUAGUUUGUUGGUGGGGUAAUGGCCUACCAAGACUGUGAUCAAUAGCUGAUUUGAGAGGAUGAUCAGCCACAUUGGGACUGAGACACGGCCCAAACUCCUACGGGAGGCAGCAGUGGGGAAUCUUGCACAAUGGAGGAAACUCUGAUGCAGCGAUGCCGCGUGAGUGAAGAAGGCCUUUGGGUUGUAAAGCUCUUUCGUCGGGGAAGAAAAUGACUGUACCCGAAUAAGAAGGUCCGGCUAACUUCGUGCCAGCAGCCGCGGUAAUACGAAGGGACCUAGCGUAGUUCGGAAUUACUGGGCUUAAAGAGUUCGUAGGUGGUUGAAAAAGUUGGUGGUGAAAUCCCAGAGCUUAACUCUGGAACUGCCAUCAAAACUUUUCAGCUAGAGUAUGAUAGAGGAAAGCAGAAUUUCUAGUGUAGAGGUGAAAUUCGUAGAUAUUAGAAAGAAUACCAAUUGCGAAGGCAGCUUUCUGGAUCAUUACUGACACUGAGGAACGAAAGCAUGGGUAGCGAAGAGGAUUAGAUACCCUCGUAGUCCAUGCCGUAAACGAUGUGUGUUAGACGUUGGAAAAUUAUUUUCAGUGUCGCAGCGAAAAGCGAUAAACACCC